rnacentral:rRNA from 1 species
GGGGAAUUUUCCGCAAUGGGCGAAAGCCUGACGGAGCAAUACCGCGUGAGGGAGGAAGGCUCUUGGGUUGUAAACCUCUUUUCUCAGGGAAUAAGAAAGUGAAGGUACCUGAGGAAUCAGCAUCGGCUAACUCCGUGCCAGCAGCCGCGGUAAUACGGAGGAUGCAAGCGUUAUCCGGAAUGAUUGGGCGUAAAGCGUCCGUAGGUAGCAGUGUGUGUCUAUUGUUAAAGAGUUUGGCUCAACCAAAUAAAGGCGGUAGAAACUACACAGCUAGAGUGCGUUCGGGGCAGAGGGAAUUCCUGGUGUAGCGGUGAAAUGCGUAGAGAUCAGGAAGAACACCGGUGGCGAAAGCGCUCUGCUAGGCCGCAACUGACACUGAGGGACGAAAGCUAGGGGAGCGAAUGGGAUUAGAUACCCCAGUAGUCCUAGCCGUAAACGAUGGAUACUAGGCGUUGAGAGUAUCGACCCUCUCAGUGCCGUAGCUAACGCGUUAAGUAUCCCGCCUGGGGAGUACGCACGCAAGUGUGAAACUCAAAGGAAUUGACGGGGGCCCGCACAAGCGGUGGAGUAUGUGGUUUAAUUCGAUGCAACGCGAAGAACCUUACCAGGGCUUGACAUGUCUGGGACUCUGGGGAAACUCGGGGGUGCCUUCGGGAGCCAGAACACAGGUGGUGCAUGGCUGUCGUCAGCUCGUGUCGUGAGAUGUUGGGUUAAGUCCCGCAACGAGCGCAACCCUCGUACUUAGUUGCCAGCACUUCGGGUGGGCACUCUAAGGAGACUGCCGGUGACAAACCGGAGGAAGGUGGGGAUGACGUCAAGUCAGCAUGCCCCUUACGUCCUGGGCUACACACGUACUACAAUGCUACGGACAAAGGGCAGCAAGCCAGCGAUGGCAAGCAAAUCUCAGAAACCGUGGCUCAGUUCAGAUCGCAGGCUGCAACUCGCCUGCGUGAAGUCGGAAUCGCUAGUAAUUGCAGGUCAGCAUACUGCGGUGAAUUCGUUCCCGGGCCUUGUACACACCGCCCGUCACACCAUGGAAGCUGGUCACGCCCGAAGUCGUUACCCUAACUUUUCGAAGAGGGGGACGCCGAAGGUAGGACUGGUGACUGGGGUGAAGUCGUAACAAGGUAGCCGUACCGGAAGGUGUGGCUGGAUCACCUCCUUUUGAGGGAGACCUGCCCACUCAAGUUACCGAGAACAAGUAAAAGUUGUAAAUCGGUAAUGAGUUGGUCAUCCCAGGUCGGUCGUAGGAUAGUAUAUAUAUGCUUUCAAACUAUUAGAUGGUUCGAGUCAUGGGCUAUUAGCUCAGGUGGUUAGAGCGCACCCCUGAUAAGGGUGAGGUCCCUGGUUCGAGUCCAGGAUGGCCCACCUGAAGCAAGUAAAAAGAGUAAAGUAAAAAGAAAAGACAAAAAAUUUGUUCAAAGAACUUUUUACUUUGAAAUUUUGGCUUGUUGAUGGGGGUUUAGCUCAGUUGGUAGAGCGCCUGCUUUGCAAGCAGGAUGUCAGGAGUUCGAGUCUCCUAACCUCCACCUGUAAACACAGAAAAAACAAAUCUAGCACCUGAAUGAAAAAAUCAGACUGCUGGAUUUAAUUCCAGUCAGAACCUUGAAAACUGCAUAGAGAAGCGGAUUGUAGGUAGUAAGUAAGAGUUAAGAGGGAUGAAAAAGACCAAUUAGCAAUUACGAGUACAGACAGGGAUGUGGAGAGUGGUCAAGCUAAUAAGGGCUUGCGGAGGAUACCUAGGCACACAGAG